GUGAUCUAGUGUAUGUUAACUAUGCACGAACUGAAGACUUCUUUAAAUUGGAACGGGACAUGAAAAUCAAUUGCUCUGGGAAAAUUGUAAUUGCCAGAUAUGGGAAAGUUUUCAGAGGAAAUAAGGUUAAAAAUGCCCAGCUGGCAGGGGCCAAAGGAGUCAUUCUCUACUCAGACCCUGCUGACUACUUUGCUCCUGGGGUGAAGUCUUAUCCAGAUGGUUGGAAUCUUCCUGGAGGUGGUGUCCAGCGUGGAAAUAUCCUAAAUCUGAAUGGUGCAGGAGACCCUCUCACACCAGGUUACCCAGCAAAUGGUGAGUGAUCAGUCCUUGAAUAUCAUAGGAAACUUAACAUUUGAAAGAGACUUUAUUAAAGAAUUUCCUUUGGCA
rnacentral:sRNA from 1 species